GCCAUGGCUUUGCAGAGCGUUCUGGAAGCCCUGUGGCUGGAGCUCCUCCUCAGCUCUCUCUGGAAGGUUGCAGAGAGCAAGGACCGAGUAUUGCAGCCUUCCACUGUGGUCUCUUCGGAGGGUGCUCUGGCAGAAAUCUCCUGUAAUCACUCUAUAUCCAAUGCUUACGACUUCUUCUGGUACCUUCACUUCCCAGGAUGUGCACCAAGACUCCUUGUUAAGGGCUCAAGGCCUUCUCAGCAGGGACGGUACAACAUGACAUAUGAGCGGUUCUCUUCAUCACUGCUUAUCCUCCAGGCGCAGACGGCAGAUGCAGCCAUUUACUACUGUGCUCUGGGGGACACAGAGGCAGGGAAUCCAUGAAGAGCUGAACAGAAACAAGGAGAGAUCACAGCCUUUGCAGGAGGUGGAAAAAAGAUGAGCAAUAACGGUUCACCCCACCACCCCCAAUUCAGCAU